CAUACCUAUUCGAAGGGAUAGGGUCGGUUUGGCCGGAUUUCACACAGGUGUUGCAUGGCUGUCGUCAGCUCGUGUCGUGAGAUGUUGGGUUAAGUCCCGCAACGAGCGCAACCCUCAUCCUUAGUUACCAUCAGGUUAUGCUGGGGACUUUAAGGAAACUGCCAGUGAUAAACUGGAGGAAGGUGGGGAUGAUGUCAAGUCAUCAUGGCCCUUAUGGAGUGGGCUACACACGUGCUACAAUGGUGAUUACAAUGGGCUGCAAGGUCGCAAGGCUGAGCUAAUCCCAAAAAAUCAUCUCAGUUCGGAUUGUUCUCUGCAACUCGAGAGCAUGAAGUUGGAAUCGCUAGUAAUAGUGGAUCAGCAUGCCACGGUGAAUACGUUCUCGGGUCUUGUACACACUGCCCGUCACGCCAUGGGAAUUGGUUUCACUCGAAGCU
rnacentral:rRNA from 1 species